AGCGAACGCUGGCGGCAGGCCUAACACAUGCAAGUCGAACGCGUGUAGCAAUACACGAGUGGCAGACGGGUGAGUAACACGUGGGAACGUGCCCUUCGGUUCGGAAUAACUCAGGGAAACUUGAGCUAAUACCGGAUACGCCCUUACGGGGAAAGAUUUAUCGCCGAUGGAUCGGCCCGCGUCUGAUUAGCUAGUUGGUGAGGUAACGGCUCACCAAGGCGACGAUCAGUAGCNGGUCUGAGAGGAUGAUCAGCCACACUGGGACUGAGACACGGCCCAGACUCCUACGGGAGGCAGCAGUGGGGAAUAUUGGACAAUGGGGGAAACCCUGAUCCAGCCAUGCCGCGUGAGUGAUGAA
rnacentral:rRNA from 1 species